GCCGGCAUAGCUCAGCUGGUAGAGCAACCGCCUUGUAAGCGGUAGGUCCCCCGUUCGACUCGGGGUGCCGGCACCA
rnacentral:tRNA from 2 species